rnacentral:misc_RNA from 1 species
GAAAUGCGAUACUUGGUGUGAAUUGCAGAAUUCAGUGAAUCAUCGAAUCUUUGAACGCACAUUGCGCCCUUUGGUAUUCCAAAGGGCAUGCCUGUUCGAGCGUCAUUUGUACCCUCAAGCCUUGCUUGGUGUUGGGUGUUUGUCUUCAUCACUGGAGACUCGCCUUAAAACAAUUGGCAGCCGGCAUACUGGUUCCGGAGCGCAGCACAUUUUGCGCUUCAUUCCACGCAUGCUCGCGUCCAUGAAGUCUAUAUUUCUAACUUUUGACCUCGGAUCAGGUAGGGAUACCCGCUGAACUUAA